UUGACUUAGCUGCAAUUGAGUUAAAGAAGUCCUUACGUGGCAGUCUCUAAGUGGAUGGUCAAAUGUGCCAAAGAUUGUGUUUCUUGUGGAUGGUGGAGAUUUAUCUCGAUGGAUGAAUGGCUGGGAUUUAACUUGGAAACUAAUAUGACUUUUGGAGAGAGAAAAAGGACGAGAGACUUUUCAUUCUUUUUGGCUGAGUUACAGAAUUUUUUCCCUUUUCUCUCUCUGGCGAUUUCUUCUCCUCUUUCUGGUUUUACUUUGUUAUACACUUCUCAGUUAAAUCCUGGUUUUAGAUUAGCCCUUGUAAUAUCAUGAUGCUACAGUAACUCGAGGCGUGAUUCUGAGCCUCUGCUAUUUUCUGUUUAGUUUACUGUUGGCUAGGGCUAAGUGUUGUGAAAAGGAUUUAUGUUUGGUUUCGUAGAUCUUUUGAUCGAUGAUCGAAACUUGUGUAUUCUGAGUGGUUUGAUGUAACUUUGGUUCUCUUGGACGGCGAUUUGCAUAGUGGAACGGGUUCAGUUCCUGAGCCCCCCAGAUUAGGCCCCGUUUGGCCGAACUGGGUCACCAACUCUGAUGUUCUAUCUGUUUUUCGUUUUUAUUAUGAGCACUUAAUUUUACAGUGUUAGAUUAUAGGUUUUAAUCAUCAGCUUGUAUCCCAACAAAUUGGUAUCAGAGCCAAGGGCUUCUGGACGUGCUUCUUUACUAAAUUUUCUCUGGGUCGAAAGAAAGAAAAAAAAAUUUUGGGGAUUUCGAAAUUUUUUUUGAUCUGCCAUUAAUUUUUUUUAAAGAAACUGUUGAAAUUGUGUUUGGUACUAAUAAUCUGGUUUUGUGAUUUUUUACAGUUGACUAACGGUGGACUUAUCACCUCUUGGCCACUGGUGAUUGCGUUCUCGGUCUCAGGGCCAAUCCCUUUUUUUACUGUUUUUCACAAACAGUGGUUCGGUGAGAAAUUUCCAUAAAUUCUUAUAAUUGUUGAACAACUGGCGCAUGAUUUUUUGAUAUAAGUAUCUAAAUGACUGCCUUCUUGUAUGGAAAUUAUAUAUGACUUGCAUGAAUGUAUGUCUGCUUGAUGAUAUUUUAUGUUUCGAAAUUGUUUAAGACUGCAGCUUGCAAUUCUUGAUACAUAAUUGCUGUCAUUGUGAUCAUUCAUUGACAUUAAUAUAAUUCUUGAUCAAAAAUCAUACUAAUCUGCCUCAAUUAUUGCAUUUUGUUAAGUGCUUUAAAUUGGAAAUUUUUUUAAAACCUUUUCUGUUAAUAGUUUGAUCUGUACAUAAGAUCACACCAUGUCCAUGAGUGCUGCCCACCCUUUUACAAAAUCUGUAAUAAGUUCGAAGGUUGAAUUGAGUCAAUUCGAUGGAAAGGGGGACUACUCCAUAUGGAAACAGAAAAUGAGGGCCAUUUUGGUCCAGCAGAGGGUUGCAAAGGCCCUUGAUGAUCCAGACAAAUUUCCUGAUGAACUUAAAGCAAAACCAAAUGAAAUUGAAGAGAUGAACGAAAUUGCAUAUAGUUCAAUAAUUUUACAUUUAUCUGAUAACAUCGUUAGACAAGUUGAUGAGUCUAAGACUGCUAGAGAUUUAUGGACUGCUCUUGAUAAUAUGUUUCUCACUAAAACAUUACCAAAUAAAAUCUAUCUUUUGGAAAAACUAUUUAGUUUCAAAAUGGACCCAGGAAAGGACUUAGAACAAAACCUAAGCGACUUUAGUAUUAUUGUAAAGAGUUUAGCACACAAUGAUAAAAAUUUUGAUGAUGAAGACCUUGCUGUGAUUUUAUUGAAUGCAUUGCCUGAAUCACAUAAAGAUAUUAGGAAUGCUAUUAAGUACUCUAGGGAUAAGUUGACCCAAGCUAUAGUGAUAGAUGCCUUAAGAGCUAGAGAACUAGAGGUAAGGAAAGAGUAUAGGUCUAACCCUAGAGACGAGAGUAUGUUCGUUAGGGGAAGACCAGAGAAGAGGAAAGUUGGAUUUCAACAUAAAAAAUCAAGAGGGAGAUCAAAAGGGAGAUCAAAAUCUCGAGACAGGAGUAAUAAAAAAAUGUUAUCAUUGUGGUAAGAUAGGUCACUUUAAAAGGGAUUGUUUUGACUUGAAAAAGAAACAAAAAGACCAAAACAAUAGGGAAUUAAAUAAUGCAUCUGUGGGACUUGAACUUGAUAGUUUGCAUGUAAUGACUGUAACUAGUGAUGAAACCAAUAAAGACUGGAUACUAGACUCAGGGUGUACCUUUCACAUGAGUCCCAUAAAAUCAUGGUUCUAUAACUACAAGGAUAUAGAACCUAGGAAGGUUUAUAUGGGAGACAACAACUCUCAGGCUGUUGCUGGGAUUGGUGAUAUUGCUAUCAAAAUGCAUGAUGAUAUUGUCAGGACAUUAAGAAAUGUGAGAUAUGUACCCAACCUUAAAAGAAACCUAAUUUCAUUAGGGGUUCUUGAGGAUGAAGGUUAUGUUUUUAAAUCUGAUAAUAAGGUCCUAAAAAUUAUUAAAGGGUCAUUAAUUGUCAUGAAAGGACCUAGGAGAAAUGGGUUGUACUACCUUGAGGGUCAUACCAUGUCUGCACCUUACCCUAGUCUGCUGAAUGUUACAGAGAGUAAAUCUGAGUUGUGGCACAAUAGAAUGGGUCAUAUUGGUAAUAAAGGUUUAAAGUACCUAAGUAACCAAAAAUUACUUGGUAAGGAUGAUAUUGAACCUUUGAAUUUCUGUGAGACUUGUGUGUUGGGUAAGUCUCAUAGGGUAAGCUUUGAAACAAGUUCCUAUAGUACUAAUAGACCAUUGGACUAUGUGCAUGCAGACCUUUGGGGACCUGAAAAAAUCCUACAUUUGGGGAAAAUAAUUAUUUUUUGUCAAUAGUGGAUGAUUAUUCCAGAAAAGUUUGGAUCUACCCCUUGAAGGACAAAUCUGAAACUUUUCAGAAAUUUAAAUUUGGCUUAAGAUAGUUGAGAAUCAAUUAGACAAGAAGUUAAAAACUUUAAGAACUGAUAAUGGUCUUGAGUUUUGUAACUUUGUUUUUGACAACUAUUGUAAGCAGAAGGGAAUAAUGAGGCAUAGAACAGUCAGGUUAACACCCCAACAAAAUGGGGUAGCGGAGAGAAUGAAUAGGACUCUCAUGAAUAAGGUCAGGUGUAUGCUUAUUAGCUCAGGUUUAGCUAAAGGUUUCUGGGCAGAAGCAGUUAGUACAGCUGCAUACUUGAUUAAUAGGUCUCCAUCAAGUUCUGUGAAUUUUAAAACACCACAGGAACUUUGGACAGGAAGACCACCAAGUCUAACACACAUAAGGGUAUUUGGAUGUGCAGCUUAUGCACAUCAGUCUGAGGGAAAAUUAGAGCCAAGAGCUACCAAAUGUGUGAUGUUAGGCUAUCCUGAAGGUGUUAAAGGGUACAGGUUAUGGGUUUUGGGUAAACCAAACAUAAAAAUCAUUAAUAGUAGAGAUGUAGUUUUCAAUGAAUCUGAAAUGCCAUGCCUAAAACAGAAAAAUGAUAAACCAACAGAACCUGGAAAUGAAAACAGUGCUACGAUUGAGGUGAAGUUAACUAGAUUUGAUUCACUCCAACCUGAAGAAGGUGAACUUGAAAUUCCCUUAACACAACAGGAACUUGAACCUCAACCUAUUGAAUUAAAUGAACCUCAAGCUGAAAAUGAAACUGAAAAUACUGAUCCCUCAAGUGAAAUUACUUCAAUCCAAGAUUAGCAACUUACAAGGGAUAGAGAAAGAAGGGAAAAAAGACCUAACCCAAGAUAUGAGUCUCAGAACUUAACUGAUUUUGCCUUGGUGUCUGGUGAAACUAUUGAACAAACUGAACCUGCUUCUUUUGAAGAAGCUAUGAGUGGUCCAAAAUCAGUUUUGUGGAAAAAGGCAAUGGAAGAAGAGAUGUAAUCCCUAAUGGAAAAUAAAACAUGGAAGUUGAUUAAUAAGCCUAAGGAUCAUAGGAUAGUGCAAUGUAAAUGGAUUUACAAACUCAAAGAAGGGAAUAAUCCUAAUGAUCCUCCUAGGUAUAAAGCCAGAUUAGUGGCUAAGGGGUUUACACAAAAGGAGGGGGUUGACUACAAUGAGAUAUUCUCCCCCGUGAUCAAAUAUAAAACAAUUAGACUGAUAUUUGCCCUAGUUGUUCAGCACAAUUGGGAACUAGAACAACUUGAUGUUAAAACUGCCUUCCUACAUGGGGAAUUGGAAGAGGAUAUAUAUAUGUAUCAGCCUCAAGGCUUUGAGGUGAAGGGCAAAGAUAAUUGUGUGUGUAAACUAGAAAAAUCCCUGUAUGGGCUCAAACAAAGCCCAAGACAAUGGUACAAACGUUUUGACUCUUUUGUACUGAAAAUAGGUUUUAAAAAAAGUGAUUAUGAUGCUUGUUUGUACUAUAAUAAUUCUAAGAGGGGACAUGAGGUGUACUUACUGUUGUAUGUGGAUGACAUGCUACUAAGUGGCUCAAGUAAAUCUGAAAUCACUACAAUCAAAAAUCUUUUAAAAUCAGAGUUUGACAUGAAAGAUUUGGGGAGUGCUAAGAAGAUUCUAGGGAUGAUUAUAAGGAGAGAUAGGCCUAAAAAUAAAUUGGUUGUUUCACAGGAAGCCUAUCUAAAUAAAGUUGUAACCAAGUUUGGAAUGAAGGAAUCCAAGUCAACUAGUGUUCCUUUAGUAGCCCACAUGAACCUUUCUAGUGCCCAUUCUCCUAAGAUUGAGGAAGAACGGAGAGAGAUGGAGAACAUACCCUAUGCUAAUGCCAUAGGUUCCAUUAUGUUCUCUAUGAUAACUACAAGACCUGACUUGGCUUAUGCAAUUAGUUUUCUAAAUAGAUUUAUGUCCAAUCCCGGUAAACCACAUUGGGCAGGUUUAAAAUGGUUGUUAAGAUACAUAGUUGGUACUUUAAAUCUAGGCCUUGUGUUUGAGAAAAGGACUGAAAAAUUGACUUUAAAAGGGUAUGUGGAUUCGGACUUCGCUGGUGACAAAGAUAACAGAAAAUCAACCACAGCGUACUUUUUUACACUAGGAGACAAUUGCAUAACAUGGAAGUCUCAACUACAUUCUAUAGUAUCAUUAUCCAGCACCGAAGCUGAAUAUGUUGCCAUUACUGAAGCUGUAAAAGAAUGUUUAUGGUUAAAAGGAAUUUUGAAUGAAUUGAACUUCUUGUAUAAUACUCCCACCAUUUUCACAGACAGUCAAAGUGCACUAUUACUAAGUAAGAACCCUGUCUAUCAUGAAAGGUCAAAACAUAUCGAGGUGAAGUAUCAUUUUAUUAAAGAUAAAAUCUCUACAGGUGAAGUUAAUUUGGUUAAAAUUCAUACUAAUAAAAAUCCCUCAGAUAUGGGAACAAAAGUUUUAUCUGUUAGUAAGUUCAAGUCCUGUUUAACUAUACUUCAUAUUGAAACAGGUUAAUUUCUUUUGCAAGUAUGGGCAAUGAUGAUGAACUGAUUGUUCCUUGUGCAAAUUAUGCAACCAGAGAGCCAAGUGUUAUUGAGAACCAAGGUGAAGAAAUGAAAGUGUGUUUCUCAAAACAUUUCCAAAUUAAUGCCAUUCUUGACAAUUGACUUAGCUGCAAUUGAGUUAAAGAAGUCCUUACGUGGUAGUCUCUAAGUGGAUGGUCAAAUGUGCCAAAGAUUGUGUUUCUUGUGGAUGGUGGAGAUUUAUCUCGAUGGAUGAAUGGCUGGGAUUUAACUUGGAAACUAAUAUGACUUUUGGAGAGAGAAAAAGGACGAGAGACUUUUCAUUCUUUUUGGCUGAGUUACAGAAUUUUUUCCCUUUUCUCUCUCUGGCGAUUUCUUCUCCUCUUUCUGGUUUUACUUUGUUAUACACUUCUCAGUUAAAUCCUGGUUUUAGAUUAGCCCUUGUAAUAUCAUGAUGCUACAGUAACUCGAGGCGUGAUUCUGAGCCUCUGCUAUUUUCUGUUUAGUUUACUGUUGGCUAGGGCUAAGUGUUGUGAAAAGGAUUUAUGUUUGGUUUCGUAGAUCUUUUGAUCGAUGAUCGAAACUUGUGUAUUCUGAGUGGUUUGAUGUAACUUUGGUUCUCUUGGACGGCGAUUUGCAUAGUGGAACGGGUUCAGUUCCUGAGCCCCCCAGAUUAGGCCCCGUUUGGCCGAACUGGGUCACCAACUCUGAUGUUCUAUCUAUUUUUCGUUUUUAUUAUGAGCACUUAAUUUUACAGUGUUAGAUUAUAGGUUUUAAUCAUCAGCUUGUAUCCCAA
rnacentral:lncRNA from 1 species